rnacentral:rRNA from 1 species
CCUACGGGUGGCUGCAGUGAGGGAUAUUGGUCAAUGGGGGAAACCCUGAACCAGCAACGCCGCGUGAGGGAAGACGGUGUUCGGAUGGUAAACCUCUGUCCGCGGGGAAGAGAAUGACGGUAGCAGAGGAGGAAGCUCCGGCGAACGACGUGCCAGCAGCCGCGGUAAUACGUAGGGAGCAAGCGUUGUCCGGAUUUACUGGGUGUAAAGGGUGCGGAGGCGGCCCGGCAAGUCAGAAGUGAAAUCCAUGGGCUUAACCCGUGAACUGCUUUUGAAACGGUAGGGCUUGAGUGAAGUAGAGGCCGGCGGCAUUCCCGGUGUAGCUGUGCCAUGCGUAGAGAUCGGGA